AGGCUGCUCCGUUAUCUCGGGGCUCCCUGGAUGAAGGAACAGACCGACCCCCUCCCUGUACCUCGCGAUCGUUCGCUGCGGUUCUGCCUGGGACAGCUCCAAAGCAGCAAAUCUUGGUGAUCAAGGGCUUCCUCUGGGUUUGCGCCCGUUCAAAUCUCCCGCCGUUGCCCUGGCAACGCUCGCAUCACGUCAGCCGCUCUCGCGACAGCUGCAGGUCUGCUCCGUUAUCCCGGGGCUCCCUGGAUGGCGGAACCAACCGAAACCUUCCCCGUAUUCUGCGAUCAGUCCCUUCUGGGACUUUUUUGGCUCUUCUGGAGUCCUGUUGAACAAAAUCUGAGCUUCAACUUCAUGACACGGCACUGGGAAGUGAUUGGCGGUGCAUGGGGGCACGGGGGUGUGCAGCAGUUCCUGGGAUGAGAUAUCUACGCUGUGGUUUCCAGGGAUUCAGGUCUGACCAUCAUAGCGUUCCUCUUUAGACUUAAACCUUAUGUUUCGCUUUUUCAGAAAGAUUGGAUGCCGGCAGUGCAGGAAGCGGUAAGAAGUGGGUAAGAUUCUGAAUCUGCACUUUCUCACACAUUCUCUGUCUCCUUCUUUCCAUUUGUUGUAUCAGAGUUGUAUCACAGACUUGUAUCACAAGUUGUAUCAGAGGAGGUUUAGGUUGGACAUAAGGAAGAACUUUUUCUCUCAGAGAGUGGUCAGGCACUGGAAUGGCUGCCCAGGCAGGUGGUGGAGUCGCCGUCCCUGGCAGUGUUCAAGAGGUGUCUGGAUGACGUGCUGCGUGAUGUGGUUUAGUGCUUGUGGUGGCAAUGGUGAUGAGGAGAUGGUUGGACUGGAUGAUCUUAUAGGUCGUUUCCAACCUUGUGAUUCUAUGAUUCUAUGAUUCUAUGAUUUGUAGUGGAGGUCGUGCCCAGACAAGUUCACUGUAUCAAUGGCGAAGAAAUUGCAUGGCAAUUUCAAAACAUUUCCUGGAGCAAGAGAAUGAACAACAUAUUUAGAUACAAAUGUGAACAGCAAAAAUGGUAUAACAGUUUAUAAAGUGAAACAAAGAGCAAUCUAGAUUAACAUUAUUAAAUUUUGGGGUUUUUUUUCUUUUUUUCUUUUUUUUCUUUUUUUCCCCCACUCGAUUCUUCUUA